rnacentral:miRNA from 1 species
UGGCUCAGUUCAGCAGAA